UCUGCUUUCUUUUCUGGUACUUCAUGUAACUUUCCAGACCUCUGUCAGGUCAGUAUGGCCUUAGAGACGGCUCCUUAGUCAUUCUCCUGCUGCAGUGCUCCAAACUCCACCAACCAUUGCUCUAAAAGCCUCUCAGAGUCAGCUCUUCCUGGGGGCCUGAUAGACUGGCUGGUGCUGGAGAGCCACUGAGGAGGUGGCAUAGAGCCACAGAGAAGAGCAAGAACAGUGGAAGAGGGCAAGGUCAAGUUGACAAAUAUCAGACAAUGAGAAAGAAUUGCAUAAACUGCAGUGGCAUAAUGUAGCAUAACAGAUGGAUAAUUAGAUUUAUUCUAAGAGCUGUAAAAGUAAGUAAUUAAAUAAAAAUAUGGAACAAUGAAUCUGCCACAGARAGACACCUAACAGCCUCAUGAGGGCCCUGCAGCUGGCACAAGCAGCCUGGGAGAGAAGCAGUGGGCAAGAACCUCUAAAGCUGCCCUGAUGUUUUAGGCACAAUAAAUUGAGCACCAACUCAAGCUGAGCACAGGGGACAGCCCAGUUGCAGACAGAAAUAAUCAGACCAAUGGCUGCAAACUGUGUUGUACCAUGGGAGUAGUCUCCUGUCUACAUCUGGAAGACAGCAUCCUGAGAAGCAGAGGCAAAGAGGAAGGGAGACAAAAAAUGCACGUACAGAUGACGGGAUUCACUGUCACCAACAGAGGAAGGCUGAGAGAUCCAAAUCAGGCCUCCACUCUCCUCCCAGAGGUUGGCAGCAGAUGAGGAGGAUGCAGUCGCUAUGUAAGAAACAUGAAAUAUGACUGAUUUGUGUGACCAGAUUUCAAGACUAAGGUAAAAGGUAGUAUUAUAUUUAAAG